GCAGUGGAGAGUAGCGCCAUUAUAAUAGAUUCAACGAUGAGAAAAACAGAAAUUCUAUAUAUUUAUAAAUAAAAAUUCCCAGAAAUUUGAAUACUAUUUUAUUGUGCGUUCUAUAUUAUUUUAAUACAAUUUUGAUUUGUUUUGUAUUUUAAUAUUUCACGUAAUUGAACAUUAAUUAAAGUAAUUCAAUGUUACGAAUUUACAUCAUUUUAUUAUCAUAACAUUUUUUUAUCGGCAUAUUUUAUCACUCUAUAUUGAGUAAUGUAUUGUGGAUAUUUUUCACUGCAUAUUAAAUACAUUUCUCUUAAGUAUAGUAUUGCAUUUCUUUUAUAAGGAAAAGAAAAUAAAAGUAGAAUAUACUAAUAUGUACAUUUUUAAAUUAAUAAUGUUUAAAAUUAUCAGCAAAAAUAAUGUAAGUAAUUUUUCUGUAAAAAAUACGAGAUCAAUUAGUAACUUUAUAAAAGUAGUUGAAGUUGGACCUCGAGAUGGAUUACAAAAUGAAAGAAAUAUUGUCCCAACCAGAGUCAAAGUUGAGUUCAUUAACAAACUAUCAGAAAGUGGAUUAAAGAAUAUAGAAGUUACCAGUUUUGUGUCUCCAAAAUGGGUUCCCCAAAUGGCAGACAAUGCAGAGGUGUACCAAAAGAUUAAUAAGAAACCAGAUAUUUCUUAUCCAGCAUUGGUACCAAACAUAAAAGGUUUGAAAGCUGCAUUGAAAGCAAAUGUAAAAGAAAUAGCUAUCUUUUUGGCUGCAUCUGAAACUUUUUCAAGGAAGAAUAUCAACUGUUCCAUUGAUGAUAGUAUGAAAGAAGCUAGAGCAGUUAUUGAAGAAGCCUUAAAAUAUGAUAUUAAAGUCAGAGGAUAUAUAUCAUGUAUCAUUGGUUGUCCUUACGAAGGUCAAAUUCAAGCAACAGUUGUAGCCAAUUUAGCUACAUUCAUGUUACAAUGUGGAUGUUAUGAAAUUUCUUUAGGAGAUACUAUUGGUGUAGGAUCACCUAACAAAAUAAAGAAUGUAUUACAUGAAUUGGGAUAUGUAUCAAAUGACAUGCAUGAAUUUGCAAUUCAUUGUCAUGAUACUUAUGGACAGGCACUAGUAAACAUUUAUGCUAGCCUUGAACAUGGAAUAAGAAUUUUUGACUCAUCUGUAGCUGGUCUAGGAGGUUGUCCAUAUGCAGUUGGAGCCUCUGGAAAUGUUGCUACAGAAGAUUUAGUCUAUCUUUUACAUGGACAAGGUUUAGAAACUGGAAUAAACCUUAAUGAAAUAGUAAAAAUAGGAGAAUUUAUCAGUAGUCAGCUUCAAAGACAAAAUCAAUCCAAAGCAGAAAGGAUUUAUCAGAAAAUUUGUUGUAAGCAAGAAGUACUAAAGAUUUUCAUUUUAUUUGAUUUACUUAAAAACUUUUUUCCAUUGAAAGAAUGAUAUUCCAAACUUAUGAUUCCAGUAUUUAAAAACUGACUCUUGUUUAUAUAAAUGUGUCUUAAUACAUCAUGUUUGGUAAAUUUGUUACAAAACUAAUACAAUCAUUGCCAACAUGGGAAGUAACUAAAUAUUAUGGGAGAGUGUGUAUAUAUCAAUUAAAAUGUUUAAAAUAUAGAGUUCAAACAAGUGAAGCAUGGUUUAAUUUCAAAUGCAAAUUUAUGCCAGGUAGUUUGCGUAAAGAAAUAGAAUGUGAAGAUUAUGUUGAACCCAAAGUUAGCAAUAAGUCUAAACAGAGAGAACAAUCAAAAGUGUCAUCUGAGAGAGAAUUGCAAGAUAAAGUUCAAUAUAAUGCAAAGGAUCGUAAAAGUGUACCAACUUCACUCAAGGAAUUAAAAGAUAAUUAUAUUAUUGAUGAAUUAAUAGAUUCAAAAAAGCAAGAAAAGCAAGAAAAGAAGAGAUAUCAAGAAAAUAACAAAUAUCCUAUACAUGAAGAUUAUGUGACAAAGAAAAAAAGAAAAGUAAAACGUGCUCAAUGAUUUUCAUGGUAGAUUAGAAGAAUUUUUAGUUUGGAACCUCUACGACAUUCUCUCAAAAUUACAAACAAGUUUCAGAAAUGUUUAUCUUUUAUUAAUUGUAUUUGUAUAUAAUAUUAAAUAAUGUUUAAUAUUUUAAAAUAAUGAGGAUACUGACCAUAGGUUUAAUUAAGAACAAUUCAUUCCAAAAAUUUGGAUGAGCUAAUGUUAAAUCCUCUCCUUUGAAAAAGCUUUCAUAAAUAGGUACAAGUUUUCCUUUAUGUUGGCGUUUGGAGCCAGAACCGCUCCGUUUUCUCAUAGCCAUUGCCAUAAUUGAUUAUUCAAUUUUUAUCAUUUCCUUUACCUAAAAAAAAUACAUUGAUUUCAAUAAUAAUUAUAUCCAGAAUUUAUGCAAUCUUACAAAUUUUAAAUAUAUUGUUUUAUAUAAUAAUAUAUUGCUUUAUUUAAAAUUCGUAAAUUCUUAUCUUUUAAUACACCUAUACACCAUACACCAUACCUAACCUUUAUACUGAAUUUUCAAUGAUUUUAAAUGAAUAAAUAAUACUUUGAUAGAUACAACAUCUUCCAGAUAAAAAUAUUUAUGUUAUCACACGUUUUAAAAUUGUAAAAAUAUAUAACAAUACAAAUUUUGGAAAGAAGGACAUCAAAUAUUUACUUACUAAUAAAGCAGAUAACUCUUGAUGUCAUGUAAGUAAUUUUUGUAUUAUUUGAAAAGGCAGUACUAAAAGUAUGUCUUUUUAUGUAUGUUUUAACUAUUAUUCUUGUUUAUCUAAUUUUUAAAGGGUUUCAUUGAGACGAGACUCUAAGUACUGAAAAUGAAAUAAUGACGCAAAUAAUUACGAAAACAUCCAUGCACAAGAAUGACAGGGAGCCAUCAUGGAAUAAAAAAUUGAUAUAUACAUAACAUACACAUCAUGAACAUAUGUCUAUGAUACACAUUAUACUUGUUGUGAUAUCUCCGUUCAAAACUUACAUCUUAAAGAUAAAAUCAAGUUCAUAUAUACAUAAUGAUUUGCUUAUAUAAAUCAUUAACAUAUGGUUCCUUAACAUACGAUUAAAUACGUAAUCCAUUAUUACACACAUAUGUAUACACGAUUCA